CUGUGCCAUCACUUAGGAUCUGACCUGAAGCUUGUUGAGCUGAAGAGCAUUUCUAGCAGUCCAGCAAGGCUUUAUUGAGAUUUAGCACUCAGUCUCUGAGGGAACAGUAUAUUUGUUUUCUUCAUCGUGUGAAUGUGACACAUGGGAUAAGGUUCUUAUUUUAGAUGAAGGACAAGUACAUGGGUUUUCUAUUUACCUGAUGGCAAGCACAGUUAGCUCUGAGGGUGCUGUACAUUAUCUUCCAUUCCCCAUCCUCACCCAGUAAUCUGUUGGUGCCUCUGCACCUGUUCCAGCAGUGAGCAGGAGGAGGGAGCAAGCCCUGUGCAUCGCUGGGGUUUUGCUAACAGGACAGGAAGAUUAAUCUAACUUCUGGGACACAGAGACAAGAGCUAGAUGUUAUUCCUAGCAGCCAAGGAUGAAAUAUCAGGAGCUGUCAACAGAUGAACAGAGCUUGAAGAGAUGAUGGAAGGCCUGUGGUCAGAUAUGGGCUUUUAAUGAUGGGCAGCCUAGGCAGAACGAUAUGAACUGGUUCUGCACUUCUGAGAUGGCUGGAAAGCUGCCAGAGACCUUGGAGACGUUAGGACACCGCUGGAAUGAAUUUGCGUGCAUACUUUGCUUUGUCAAACACAAGGAUGUAAAAAUACUGUAUUCCACCUGAAAGCUGCCUUGUUGCAGAGUCACAUCCAGCAUCAUUGCAAGCAUCUUUAGAUUGUGAAGAAGUGAAGCCUGUAGCAAGGAAGCAAUUGUUAAGGGAGUUAACUGAUGUUAUUGAAUAGGAUCUGCAUUUGUGGAACAGAAUUAGGAGGCGCUUUCUUUACAUAAAAUAAGAGGAGCCAUUCACAGGAGACUGCAUACAGAGCACAAGCAAGCUAGGUUGGGAGUUCAUGGUAAUACUAAAUACCUUGCAGUGCAUGAGCUAUUUUUCACCAGGGAGACCAGAAGCCCUGAUCAGUAUUAAGAGCCUGUUGUCCUAUCGCAAAUACAGAGCAAACACAGAUAACAGGUAGCCAGCCCUGGAAAAUGUUUGUUUAUUCUGAUACAAUGGCAGAUUUACGCAUAAUUUGUGGACCUGCACUUAAUCAAAUCACAUGAACAUGUAGGCAAACACGUGCGGCCAUGCUUGUGUCUUUCAUCAAAUGUGAUUGAUAAAGAAAAGAAUUAGUGUAAGGAGUUGCAUUGUUGGAGGGCAUCGUUGUAAGCCAAACCUCUAUCGUCCCAGCGAGCGGAGUUCCAGUAAUUGCAUUUUAAGGAGUAAUAAUUGACAUUUCAGGUACAAGAAGAGAAGAGCCUGGCUCAAUUGUAGAGUAUAUACCUCUCGAGAAUGACACAGGAAUGUCAUGAAUACGAAGACAGCAAAUUUUUGGCAUCUUUUACCUUUCAGGGGACAGCAGAUCAGCACACAGCCUUCACAAUGUUCUCCGUCUGUGAUGAUUUCGUUCUUUUAUUUACAGUCUUCCAUGGUGAUGGAGCCCACAAACUAUGUUCCACAAACUCCGUUCCACAUUCUUUGACUCCACCUAUGGGCAGCGUGGAUGGUGAAUGCUGGCUGAUGGCACCCUCACCCAAUUGCAGGAAGCCUGCUGCUCAGCAGCUUGAGGUGAAGCACAGAUCCUCCUUCAUGGCAUGGCACAGGCUGCAUGGAAAGCAAGGGAGGACAGAAGCACUUCAUCCAGCGCCUGGCAGGAUUGUUCAGCCUUCCCCACUGUCCUGUUAACAAGUCUGUUCCCAGAGUAGAGAACCUGAAUGAGACCCAGGGCAGCUUUUGACAUAGUCAUGCUUUAUGCUCUGCCAUCUCUCUGCUGGCAAGGCACCCAGCAGCUCAGCUUGACAGCGAGAGUCUCACUGCUGUGCUGGAGAAAGCCAGAGUUGUCACAGAAGUUGAUAUAUUUGGGUUUCCUUGGCCAGUGACAGACAAGUGCUUGACAAUGUGCUGUGCCUGCUCUAGUGCUCUGCUCCUUGCUGCCUGGGCUCUCAGUGGAGCAGCCAAACCCACAGGAGCUCACAUCUUGCAUGGGAUUAUGAGCUCCCAAUAUAAACCAGGAGGAUACCAUUGCUGGGCAGACAGGAACAGACAAAAGCAUUCAUUUAAUCUGUGCCAUCUACAAGUCUAGAACCAGAACGAGGUUCAAAGCCUUUGGCAGCCUGAGAUUGUUGGCAAUAGUGAGGCUAGAAAAGCCCUAGCUUAACCUGGAAAGCUGUGCUAAACACCUCACAAGAAAAUAUUUGUCUCUGAAUCAGAGCCUAAUUCUUGCUGUUGUUCUCUCAUGGGCACUGAAGAUCUCAGUGAUGCUCUGGACUUCCACGCUUGACAAUUUAGGUGUAGGAUGAAAUUUCCAGGAGCAUCCGUUAUAGAUCUACAGUAGGAAAUUAAACAUAUAUUCAGGCAUUGAGAUCCACUGGCACACUCACACUCCCAAAAUUCAGCCUCCAGAAUAGGAAGACCAUAUCCAGAGUGCCUACUGGCAGCAGCCUCUGUUCUGUGCUAACAACUACUCUGCUCUGGGAGCAGUCCUGAUAAGCAUUAUGGAUCUAUGCAUGUUGCAACCAUGCCAGGACUCUUCUAACAGAUUGAGAGUACGGAUUAUUGAUCCCCAGCAUCUGCCUGUGUUGUUUGAUUUAUUGGUAGAGAAGUGUAUGUGAAUUCUGAGCCUGAAUCCGGAUUAAAAACCAGAAUUAUGUCAAUCUGUAUCCACAGUGGUCCCAGAAGAGCUGGAGGAACACUCAGUGCAGCAGUCCUGACAUGAAUUGUCCAAAACGGCUAACUUGCCUGAGUAUAAUGACUUCAGCUAGAGUUGUAUUUAUCAGCCAGCUCCAGCCUUCAAGGACUUGGUUCUAAAAGAACCCUGAAUUGAUUAGUUACCCACCUAAACAGGUUUUACAUUCCAGAUGAGCUCCUUUAUUCAAAUGACAGAGGGCCAUUAUGUUGCUAGAAUGAUUACCAUGUCCUCCAUAUAUGGCUCCAAGUGAAUCAGUGAUCACUUUUAUAAGAAAAUUUGCUCCUACAAACUCCUCUGAUUUAAUGCUGCGGUCAUGGAUCCAGAUUGAGUUACAUUCCUACGCCUACCUGAAGAUAAGUGGACUUCCAGCCUCACCACCAGACACGUUCAUAUUUCAGGUAUAAUAGUCUUCCUUGAUUCCUGUUUGUUUUGGCCUCCAUCACUGCAGGUUCAUUGCUGUAAGAUACGUACUGAUGAGGGGCCUGAGUUCAGAGACAGAACUCCAAGCAAACCCAGAGUGUUGUAGGAUGUAGCAAUGUUUUUUUUGUUGUCUUUUUGCUUUUCUAGCAGGCAGUUCUUCCAUCACAGUUGCUGUGUUUAUGCUCUGCUGUAGUCUGUGCGUUUCUGAUAAGCUGGAGAACUGAAUUCUGACUAAAUGUGGUCAUAAAUGAUCCCGUGACACUUCUACAAUUAUCUCUGCUAAUGCAGCUUUCUGCUCGAGCUCCAGCCUGUCAAUGCUAUUCUCCAUCUGCAGCACUUUUAAUUGCAGGUGUAAAGAAGAUUGUUCAGUUACUGCUCUCACUUGCUGUGCAGGGCUAUCAGUCCUGUUAAAUCACUGCUUAAUAUUUCUAAGUGCAGAUUCAAGCCAGCUGCAUCCGCAUAACCCAUACACAGGUUUCACCACCCAUCCUUACUAACGCC
ensembl:lncRNA